rnacentral:rRNA from 1 species
AUUGAACGCUGGCGGAAUGCAUUACACAUGCAAGUCGAACGGCAGCACGGGUGCUUGCACCUGGUGGCGAGUGGCGAACGGGUGAGUAAUGCGUCGGAACGUACCGAGUAAUGGAGGAUAACGCGGCGAAAGUCGCGCUAAUACCGCAUACGCCCUGAGGGGGAUAGUGGGGGACCGCAAGGCCUCACGUUAUUCGAGCGGCCGACGUCUGAUUAGCUGGUUGGUGGGGUAAUGGCCUACCAAAGCGACGAUCAGUAGCGGGUCUGAGAGGAUGAUCCGCCACACUGGGACUGAGACACGGCCCAGACUCCUACGGGAGGCAGCAGUGCGGAAUUUUGGACAAUGGGGGCAACCCUGAUCCAGCCAUUCCGCGUGAGUGAAGAAGGCCUUCGGGUUGUAAAGCUCUUUCAGCCGGGACGAAACGGUACGCGCUAACAUCGCGUGCUAAUGACGGUACCGGCAGAAGAAGCACCGGCUAACUACGUGCCAGCAGCCUCGGUAAUACGUAGGGUGCGAGCGUUAAUCGGAAUUACUGGGCGUAAAGCGUGCGCAGGCGGAUUAUUAAGCAAGACGUGACAUCCCCGGGCUCAACCUGGGAACUGCGCUUGUGACUGCAAGGCUAGAGUACGGCAGAGGCGGGUGGAAUUCCACGUGUAGCAGUGAAUUGCGUAGAGAUGUGGAGGAACACCAAUGGCGAAGGCAGCCCCCUGGGUCGAUACUGACGCUCAUGCACGAAAGCGUGGAUAGCAAACAGGAUUAGAUACCCUGGUAGUCCACGCCCUAAACGAUGUCAACUAGGUGUUGGGUGGGUAAAACCAUUUAGUACCGGAGCUAACGCGUGAAGUUGACCGCCUGCGGAGUACGGCCGCAAGGUUAAAAC